ACGACCUUACUUGAACAGGAUCUGUUCUAUAGGAUCGUACUACUGUGUCCUUGAUUUCUAAGGAGACAGGAACAAAAAUUCUGGACGAUGAAUUAUGAUCGUGUGAUCAGAGCGUGAUUAACGGUUCUGUGAUGACAUCCUACGGGAUUCAUCAUAAGAUAUUGUAGAUGAUCGUUCCCAAGUCAGCAUAGUCUGGUUGGGUUGGUCACACGGUUGUCUGACAGAUU
rnacentral:snoRNA from 1 species